GGUUGUGGCUCAGUGGUAGAGUGUUUGCCUAGUAUAUGCAAGGCCCUGGGUUCAAUCCCCAGCGUCG
rnacentral:tRNA from 1 species